rnacentral:rRNA from 1 species
GACGAACGCUGGCGGCGUGCUUAACACAUGCAAGUCGAACGGAAAGGCCCUGCUUUUGUGGGGUGCUCGAGUGGCGAACGGGUGAGUAACACGUGAGUAACCUGCCCUUGACUUUGGGAUAACUUCAGGAAACUGGGGCUAAUACCGGAUAGGAGCUCCUGCUGCAUGGUGGGGGUUGGAAAGUUUCGGCGGUUGGGGAUGGACUCGCGGCUUAUCAGCUUGUUGGUGGGGUAGUGGCUUACCAAGGCUUUGACGGGUAGCCGGCCUGAGAGGGUGACCGGCCACAUUGGGACUGAGAUAAGGCCCAGAAUCCUACGGGAGGCAGCAGUGGGGAAUAUUGCACAAUGGGCGGAAGCCUGAUGCAGCAACGCCGCGUGCGGGAUGACGGCCUUCGGGUUGUAAACCGCUUUCGCCUGUGACGAAGCGUGAGUGACGGUAAUGGGUAAAGAAGCACCGGCUAACUACGUG